UUUUUGUCAUUUUUUUUCCAGUGCGAAGAUACACCAGUCGAUGAGAGAGAUGUUUGUGCCGCUCUUCAAGGAUCUCCAUCGGACCAGUUGCUGGCACCUCAGAGUGCAGCCGGGACGCUGUGCAACUUCAGCAUUGCUGAUUUUGUCUGCUCCUCAGAAGUGAAAGUCAC